UACGUAGGGGCCGAGCGUUGUCCGGAGUUAUUGGGCGUAAAGCGCGCGCAGGCGGCUUCGCGCGUCCGACGUGAAAAGCCCCCGGCUCAACCGGGGAGGGUCGUUGGGUACGGCGGAGCUUGAGGGCGGUAGAGGUUGGUGGAAUUCCCGGUGUAGUGGUGAAAUGCGUAGAGAUCGGGAGGAACACCUGUGGCGAAGGCGGCCAACUGGGCCGACCCUGACGCUGAGGCGCGAAGGCGUGGGGAGCGAACGGG
rnacentral:rRNA from 1 species